ACCUGAUGAUGUGGGAAUUUAUGUAAGAGGUCCCUAAAACGCUCCUAGGUCUCAAAAAAUAGUUCCCCAUUCAACUGUAAGAAACUAGUGAUGGCUCGCCUAAACU